rnacentral:misc_RNA from 1 species
AAAAUAUAAAAAACUCUGCCUGCUCUCAUACAGAGUGGUAGUUGUAUGAAAUUCUUGAUCUUAAACUUAUAUAUUAAAAUGAGAAAAUGAAUCAUGGACUUAGGAUAGACUCACCUGGUCACCUUGUUUAGCAGUUUAGGUUGGUAAAGGACUGCCAGUUAAUAGCUAGGUUAUCACUAAUCGACACUUCUGCUGAUGAAUAAUGCUUUACUACACAUAAAUUUCAUAAAGAAU